rnacentral:piRNA from 1 species
CAGAAUGUACUCCGGAAAGUCCA